UCUUCCUGGUAGCAAGAUGGCUGUUGUAGUCCAGUGGCAGACAGACGGUCUCCAGGACUGCAUUCUUAACCACGACACCAGACUUCCUCCUGUGUAAAGGAGCUUAUACUUUAUCCUGAGGAGACAAGUUCCUGUAUGGAGCUCUGCGGCUUUGUUCUAUUAGCAAGACCGGAUGGAGUGUUUGUGAAACAGCAGUGAAAUCUCUUGGAACAAAAUGAGAUCACUCCUGCAAUAGUUCUGCCCCAAAGCAUAUUUAUAAGCAAAGGCUUUAAAAGAAUCAGAGAGGAUUAAGUGAAAACCCAGAGUGAAAACCCACCCAAUGCGCGUGCGCGCGUUGCUGCGUGCUCGGUCCUUCUGACGAAGUGUGCAGGUGCGUAAUGGCUGCGUGUGGUUGCGCGGGCUUGGGUCACUUAGCGCUUGGGCCUGCAGGGGUCCGCACAGAGGCUGGAUCGCAACCGCAGGCACCUGCUUGUCUUUUCUCAGUAGUGACGCGGGAAGGAGGAAGAAGAAGACACAUCCAUAAGGGGCCUGAUGGUAAAACACGGGGUGGGAGAUUCCAGGUUUCGUAAGCCAAAUAAUCCGUUUCGGAAUGAAAUGGGUGUUUAGGCUGUCCAGACGUCCAUGUCAUAUUUAUGAAGAAAACAGAAAGCCCUCACAGUGAUUCUAAAGCCAUCCCCUGACUUGGUAUCCACAUCCACAUUAUAGUAAGAUUUUAUAGCAGGCGGCAUCUAAAGGUCUCAGAAAAUCCUUUCUAGACGAUGCCAUACUCAUGAUUGCCUCUUGCCUUUAUUUAUGUUGUUCUCUCUCCUCCAUCUCUAAAUCCUACUUAGGAAUCUUAAGCCAGGGCGGGGCCUCACAUUUUGCUGCUAAGUGAGGUCCGGCAGAAGCCAGAGGAAACCGAUCUAGAUAAACUCGCUGCCCGAGGAGGUGCUGUUCGUGGAAACAUCUAUUUACCACAAGGCUGGCGAAUGCUGGUCAUGGCCUAACGAAGUAAGGGAAGCGUGUGCCUGGUGGAAGAUGUCCCAACUGCUGCGGGAAACAGAGCCCAGGAAACAGCAACAAUAAACAUUUACAGAAAAGAGAAUCACACUUCUCAGCUCGCCAAUGAAGGACAUUUGCAUUCAGAAUAAUGAAAACAGAACAUAAAUUGUUUUUUUGGUAGAAACAUAUUGCAGGAUGAAGCAGAAGAUAGUUGAGCUAAAUCUUCAUCUACUGUAAUGUCUAAAAUUGAUGAACAGUAGCAGCAUAAGCAUAUUCUUUAGAAACAUGGGCCUCGUUCAAGAACAAAGAGCUUGAAAGAGCAGAAAUUCCAUGCUGCUGGAGAGCGAAAUGGAUAUGUAUGAGAGAACUAUAUCCUCAACAGUGAGCUCAUGGAUCCCAUUCAACUCCCGAAAUCAGGUGCAUGUAUUACUCUGAUAAAAUAACAUUUAAAAAAAAUGGAAAUUUGUCCACUUCCAUAACUCAGUGCAUUGGAAAGUCAGUAUGACUAAUUCCUCAUUCCCCGUGUAAAGACAAAAGAUCACAGCUUCUCCCAUCUUGCACAUUCCUUAGUUUGGAGCCGUUUAUCCUGUGCGAUCCCAAAACACCGUAACUGGGGCAGUGAAUUCCCCUGGGCUAGCCUGUCUAUGAAGGUCUAUUUUCAACAUUUCUGGGUUUUCUGCACACACAGGCUUCACAUGCAGGAGCUCUUGUUGAAGGAAGAAUCAUUUGAUGACAUUGAAAUACUUUGCAAUGAGACAAACAUUUGCAAUCAUUUUGGGGGGAAUGUGCCCCUUACGUUGCCACCAAUGAGCAUAAAUUUGCAUUCUGAAUGAAGAGGAAAACAAAGUAGUGAAAUGUUAGGCAAGUCUUGGUUUGUAAAGAUGGGGACUAGUCCCCUGGGAGUUUGUACGAUUCCUCUCAUGAAGUCAUUUGUACUUCUUCAUUGUUUAUUUGCACAUACCUGGCUUCACACAAGUAAGAAAAAUUUUUAUUUCUUCUGCUCCUCCUUUAGUUAUACACCAGCUGCCUUACCUGAAACUUGAAGACUGGGGCGAGGCUCCUUCAAACAAAAGUACCAAAGCUCAGAGCCAGAGAAUUCUCUGGGCACAAAGGCUUUGCAAUAGAGAACUGUAUAAUGGGGCAGGGGGGUCAGCGGCAGACCGAUGCCCCUGCCCCACAGCCCAGGCUAACCAGGUUCCUUACUGUCCUCGGUCAUGGAGAUGCCAAUAGCACUCACUUCAGCCAGGUAAACGAUGAUUCUAAACCCAAUGGUCUCCAGUCUCCGGGUGGGGUUGGACACGUGUGCCUGGGGAGAGCCAUCCUAAGCCCCAGACUGCAAGAGCGCCCCUGACUUGCACGCCAGGCACCCCGCCAGUCAGUUCUGCGGCAACUGUGGCUCAGCUCAGGGCUCCUUGCCUUCAGUCCACACUCCAGGGCCUUCCAGACCAGGAAGACAAAUGAAGAAAGAAGAUAGUUUGGGGAUUACUGCUGCCCAGGCCACCUAUGGAACUGUUUGGAAUAUCAAAAA